CAUGGACAGCUGUUGCAGUCACAGUGAGGGGGUGGGGCGGGGGCGGGGCGCCUCCCCCCCACCCCCCACCCCCGCAGCGAUCUGCAGGAGGCCAACGACUGCGAACUGCGUGGACCUGAGCUGGCAUUUGGCCAGGACAAUGGGAUUAACUUCCCAAGCGCUGGCCAAAAAGGGCCCUGGGAUUUUUAUUUUUAUUCGUUUUCCAUUACAACUGCACAGCAACGCAAACAAAGCCCCAAACAAGGAGGAAGAUUUGACUGUCAGGAGGAGCUGGUGACCUCAUUCUGUCAUUCUGUUCUUGGGGCCACUGAAGGGAGGAAGCUGGCUCUGCCGGGAGCAGGUGCUCACAAUCUACAUCUUUUGUGGGAACGUCCUCUUGAGUUUUUGGUUAUUUUUUUUUGUUUUGUUUUGUAGCCUUGGGGCCGCCUAUGAUCCUAGGAGUCUGUCAGUGCCUCGGUCUUCCAGGGUCACACGGUGUUCUAAGUCACAGGAAAGGGUGUGUGAAGGACUUGUUCCUUUUUCAUGGAGUCCCUUUGCUUUCCAGUGUCCCUACAGACAGGCAAGACUGUCACUGCUGGUCCUGGGCUGGUGUUUCUG
rnacentral:lncRNA from 1 species